UUCCAAUAGCUCAGUUGGUAGAGCAUGAGACUCUUAAUCCCAGGGUUGUAAGUUUGAGACCUAUGUUGGGCAA